rnacentral:rRNA from 1 species
UGUGGCGAGAACAUUCAGUCAUAGCGUCGUGUCGCUUUGCUGGGCAUGCAUUAUGGUUCACGCGACGUGGCCGGCCCGGCUAGCGUUGCACGGCGAGCUGACGCAUUUGUUUCUCGCCCGAAGGACGCCGCAACCGGUUGGAGGACGGUCUUAAAGGCGAGAGCCGGCAGGUGGCCGUGCGGCGUGCCUCGUGCGCGUCGCCGGUUGUUAGCCUUCUCGCAGAACGACCCGUCCGCCGACCGUGGCAAUAGAGAGGCCCGGCUGGGCUUCGUCGUCUCCUCCCAUGGCUAGCGUGUAAAGAGGCGUCGCAGGAGUUCGGAGCGGUGUAGUCACACGGAUCAACUUCGUGGGCACACGCCGCUACGUCUCUGUUGGCUUGAUGCAAGGCACGCGGGGGUGAUUGACGGUUAGCGGCGAGUAAAUCGGUCACCCACCCGACCCGUCUUGAAACACGGACCAAGGAGUUG